GGCAUGAGAAGGAAGGAGAUGAACCAUUCAUACUUGCAUCCCAAGCAAGUCAAGUAUUCUACUCUAAGGAUCAAACAAGGCCUGUAUGGUAUGUUGUUUUAAUGUCACCAAAAAGAUUAACGAAAGACGUGGACACACUGGAAGAUCCGACUCUGUUUUCCUCUUCUAGGGGCGAGAAUAUAAAUUUAGAAAAUAUUAUAAAGGAAAUUGGCUAUGAGUUUUAGGUGAGCUUGGACAUGUCAAUUGUCGAGGAGAACAUGUCAACUUCAUAAGCACACACAUCAAAAAAUAUAGGAACUUCAUCUUUGUUAAAAAAUAAGCCUUUCAUCACCUUAAAUGCACUUAGACUACCUGUGGGUGAACACUCACAUAGGUUGGCUACAAGAAGUGGAGAGCUGGUUCGCACCCAUGUCUCUAUUGCCUUCAAGAAUUGACGUAUAGUGCCAAAGAAUAAGAAAGAAAAACUUUUGAAGCUCUUAUAGGAUGAGUUUGUUAUUCCUCAGUCUUACCAAAAGCUAUGCUUUAAAAGCAUGUCCGUUAUAUUUAGGAAGUAUAAGACUAAAUUGAGGAUUAAGUACCUCGAUCCCCAUUCAAAUCAUGAUUCCAAAUUAAACAACCAUCCACCAAGAGUUAGGCCUGAAGAUUACGAAAUGUUCAUUGAACAUAAUUCAGAUCCCAAAACUAUAGAAUAAAGGAAAAAAAAUGCCGAGAAUAGGAAAAAGCUAAAGAUUAACCAUACGAGUGGCAGGCAUGGCCAUGCGAGAAUUGAGGAAGAAAUGCAAUGCCUAAAGAAAGAUGGAGACACCCCGAUUAGUAAGACUAAAGUAUGGAUUAAAACUCAUACAAGAAAAGAUGGUUCUAUUCACAGUAAUGCAGCUUCACAUGUGGAAAAAAAUCAAAGAGUUACUUUCUAGUGAAGGAAGUAAUUCCCACGACAUCCUCAAUGAUCCAUUGACUCAAGUGUUUGGUCCUGAUACAAGGGGUCGUGUUCGAGGUGUUAGGACCACCAUUUCCCAAUCACAAAUCAAGGGGUCUGCUGCAGCUCUUGAAAAAAUCUCUAUGUAUAAAGGAAAAGUAGAAGAGCAAUCAUCCACAAUUCAUGAGUAAUCGUUCAAAAUUUAAGAGCUAUCUUCUAAAAUAGAUUUUCUUACAGACCAAGUUGGGGGUACCAAAGAGAUGCUUCAAGUUAAUUUUCAUUGAAAUCCUUCUUUUUAAAAUUUAAAUAGUAAUAAUCUUUCUUCAAUUAUUGUAUAUAACACAUGGUGUGGAACUUUAUUUUAGCAGAAACACAUGGAUUCGGUUCAACGGGAGAAUCUACAAUCAACUGGUGGACCAUCGGUUGGGAAUUGUCAAUGUGUAGAGAGAAUGUAGUCAUGUAAGUUGUAUUCUUGGUGUAAAGAGCUCGUUGCUCAAGGGCGAGAUCUUUUGGCAGAUGGGCCCCAAAUGAUUCAUGGCAAACCUCUUCGGGAAGAGUUUUACAAGGUUGCCAUUGAUAUCAUUAUUAAAGGAGACACCGAAUUGCCCGAGCCAGACAGAUAUCAUUCGAAUUUAGGCGAAGUUGGAAUUGGCUCAUUUAUUUCAUGGCAUUCUUGCUUUAUAGAGUUCACCGAUUAGGGACAUUAGUCUAACAAUUUUUUGGACAAUUCACAUUUUUGGACUGUAUGUUUUGAUUGUAUUUGUGGACUGCAUCCCAAGUACAUCUUGUAUAGCUUGAUUAGUUGUUUCUAUAGACUGGACAUGAUAGAUGUAAUGUAGGUUUUGGAGAAAAUAGGAGAGAAAACUUGAAAGAUCUAGGCAUUCUUACAGGAAGAGAGUUACAAUGCAAGCCCAAAAAGAAGCUCUACCUGAUAUGCAAUGCAAAGACAAGUUCCUCUUUCAGAGUGUCAUUGCAAGUCAUGGUGCAACCACAAAGGACCAUGUGUUUUCUCUAGGAGUGGAGCACAUCAUGGAGGAUUAUUUAUUUAUUUAUAUUAUAUUCAUGCAAUUGUAAACUUAUUGUUGUAAAUAUAUAUAAUUUUUAUUAUAAAGUUGUACUACAUUUGUUCAA